rnacentral:rRNA from 1 species
UCGCCUGUUUAUCAAAAACAUUGCCUCACGCGAACAAAGAUGAGAGGUCCAUCCUGCCCGGUGACUUGCGAGUUUAACGGCCGCGGUACCCUGACCGUGCUAAGGUAGCGUGAUAAAUUGCCCUUUAAUUGGGGGCCUGUAUGAACGGACACACGAGGGUUUAACUGUCUCCUAUGAAGACCUGGAAAUUAAUAUUUAGGUGCAGAAACCUAAAUUAACUCAAAGGACAAAAAGACCCUAUAGAGCUUAGUUUAAUAUUUAUUUUAGAGAAAAUCAUUUAUAACUACUAUCUUUUAUAUUUUAAAACUUAACUGGGGCGGUUAAAGAAAAAAGAAACUUCUUUUAAAGAAAAAUUAACUUCUAACCAAGAUUUAACUUAUCAAAAUAUAUAAGAUGAGCCUAAAAUCACUAGACUAAAGGAAAAGCUACCUUAGGGGUAACAGAUUAAUCCUUCUUAAGAGUUCACAUUAACAGAAGGGUUUGACACCUCGAUGUUGGCUUAAGGAAUCCCAAGGGUCAGUAGAAGCCCUUAAUGGUAGGUUUGUUCAACCUUUAAAUCCUUAC